CUGAAGCGAGCAGCCGAUAAAAAAAGGAAAACCGAUCCCGGUCCCGACUUUCUUCCCCAACCUCCCCACUCCCUGCAUCUCCGUCCCGCAACCGCGGUCGCGCCCACUCCCCGGACCUCCCUGCCGCUGCGCGCUAUCCCCCGGCCCCGCCCCGCCCCGUCUCCCCUGCCUUCAUCCCCGACACCAUCCCGGACCUUCGUCUGAAGCAUCCGUCACAUCCAGAUCCACCCGCCGGCGACGCCCACCGCCGGCACCCCUCUACCCACUACCUUCCCGGCGGCUCCGCCUGCGUACCACCGCCGGCGCGCCCCUGUGCCCAGUCGCUGUUGCUGCCUCCCCACCCGCGCCCACCUCCUGGCACCCAUGGCCGCCAUCGCCAAGACCUUCCCUCCCCAACGAGGCUACACCUAGCCAGAGGCCUGCUGCUCUCCAACGCCUGGACUGACGCAGUCAACCGUGCGCCGGCAACGCGCAACCGGUCACCAUGGAACCCGCGUGCAGGCAUUCGUCCAUGGUUGAUAGCCUCAACCAUGGCGGUCCAUCCCCACAUGCCGCCGCUGGCCGUCGCCGUCCCUGACCACCAGACAAGCACCGCCGCCCCUGCAUCUCCGGCCACAUCGACCUUCUCAAGAGGGCUACCUUGACCUUCCCGAGGAAGGUUCAUCCAUGGAGCGGCCGCUGCCGCCACUCCACUCCCGCGCUGUGCCUGGCUUGCCGCAAGCCUCCGCCCCCCAUCACCAGUGCGCUGCCACCGCAUGGAGCUUCCAGCGCCAAGAUUCCCUUGUGCGCCAUCAGCUACCACCUAGGUUGCGUGGCUACUUCCCACCCCGUUGUGCUUCAGAUUCUGUAGAGCUUCAGGUUCAGAGCUUUUCACUUCUGAAAUUCAGUGAAGGGAAGGACUACCUGAGCGCUACCAGCAGUACAAGGAGUUUAGAAGGCAAGAGAUGGGUCAAUAGAUGAUCCCUACUUUGCAGCAAUGUGAUGUACGUGUGGAGGAAAGGUCAAUCAAAAAGUGUAGUUUGAUAAUUACGUCGUAACUUAUUAAGCUCGCUUGCUCUCUGGCUCUUAUUA